UAUGCUUGCACACUGGGGAU
rnacentral:piRNA from 1 species